rnacentral:rRNA from 1 species
UAUUCCCCACUGCUGCCUCCCGUAGGAGUUUGGGCCGUGUCUCAGUCCCAAUGUGGCCGUUCACCCUCUCAGGCCGGCUACUGAUCGUCGGUUUGGUAGGCCGUUACCCUGCCAACUGCCUAAUCAGACGCGGGACCAUCCUGUUCCACCGGAGUUUUUCACACUGCACCAUGCGGUGCUGUGCGCUUAUGCGGUAUUAACAGUCGUUUCCAACUGGUAUCCCCCGGAACAGGGCAGGUUUCCCACGCGUUACUCACCCGUCCGCCACUCAGUACAAGAUCUUCCGUCCGAAAACUUCCGUCCUUGCACCUCGUUCGACUUGCAUGUGUUAAGCACGCCGCCAGCGUUCAUCCUGAGCCAA